GAGUUUGAUCGUGGCUCAGAUUGAACGCUGGCGGCAGGCUUAACACAUGCAAGUCGAGCGGGGGAGAUUGCUUCGGUAAUUGACCUAGCGGCGGACGGGUGAGUAAUACUUAGGAAUCUGCCUAUUAAUGGGGGACAACAUCUCGAAAGGGGAUGCUAAUACCGCAUACGCCCUACGGGGAAAGCAGGGGAUCACUUGUGACCUUGCGCUAAUAGAUGAGCCUAAGUCGGAUUAGCUAGUUGGUGGGGCAAAGGCCUACCAAGGCGACGAUCUGUAGCGGGUCUGAGAGGAUGAUCCGCCACACUGGGACUGAGACACGGCCCAGACUCCUACGGGAGGCAGCAGUGGGGAAUAUUGGACAAUGGGGGGAACCCUGAUCCAGCCAUGCCGCGUGUGUGAAGAAGGCCUUAUGGUUGUAAAGCACUUUAAGCGAGGAGGAGGCUCCUGUAGUUAAUACCUACAGAGAGUGGACGUUACUCGCAGAAUAAGCACCGGCUAACUCUGUGCCAGCCGCCG
rnacentral:rRNA from 1 species